rnacentral:misc_RNA from 1 species
AUUUUGUACCAACGAAAAUACAAGUGUAUGGUUUGGCUAAAAAGCCCAAACCAAACGAACUGAGCGAAACAGAACCAUUUCCUGAAUCCUGGACUGUGCUAAUUCAGAUUCACGGUGGUCUGCCACAAUGUUAGCCUCGCACUUUUAUGACAUCCCUGUCAACCCACGUUUCAGUUUUCACAAAGAACCCAGGAAAUCAAACUCAAAACAACUCUCUUUAUAUUACUUUAUUUAAACCCUUAGCAAUUUCUCUCUGUCUCACAUACACAAAAUUACAAGCAAUGCCUUUCACGUAUCCAAUCACAUUAACCGCAUUUUCUUCAAUGGUUUGUGGCGUAUUUCUUCUUCUUUCUUCUUGUUGAUUACAUGAUUAGAUGAUGGCUGGCUCCUUCAACUCUUGGUCUUCAUCUUCCUCGUGUGGGUCUUCUUCUUUGGCUGCUCCACCAGCAGUGGGGUGCCCAAAGUCACCACCUGGAGGUUUAGAUUUGUUUGGGAAGAGAAGGCAAGUUGGUCAGGGUACAAAUCUUGGAAAGAGAGAUCGACUUGCUUCAGGUUAGUUACUUCACUCUGGAAUUGAAUAUUUUCCUUUUAGAAAUACUUGAUAGGGAUAGUUUCAAUUUUUCAUAGCUAACAAAUGGGUGAAAACUUGAAGAAUAUAUGAAAGUUGUGUGUGAUAGUCUGACCUGAAGGGAAGAGUGAAGCGUGAAUUAGGGUUUUAAAGGUUGGAUUUCAAAACUUUUGUAAGGUUUCAUGCAUACAUAACACAUGUAUUAUGAUACUAACCGACCUUAAAUACCCAAGAUAUGUUAAAGCACACUUUUAACAUGUAUUAAAUUUUCAUUUGCCAUUAAAGAUUAUUGUUUAACAAUUAAACACAUUAAAAGCCUAACUAAAAGAGGGAUUUAAGAACUCUAACCUCUUGGGGCAUAGAAUCAGCUUCUUGCUCCCUUUGGAUGUCACAAGAGUACAAUUGCAACUCCUAUAGCUUAUCCACUACAAGCUCCACCAAAUUCUAUCAAUGGCAGCCCCUAACCUCUCCUUUCGGUGAUUUACCAACCAUUAAUUUUGUGGCUAUUGCUUUAGGUAAGGUUCUUUUGGAUGUAGUAAGCUAGAAACACUUCCUAGCAAUUUUGAUUCAAAAGAAAACAAGGUUGUCUUUGUGAAUCAAUGGAAGAAAGUGAAGAGAGGGAGAAAAUCUUCUUUUGCCAUCCAAUGUGGGAAGAAGAAAAAAUAAAAUUCCAUUCAUUUGUUUCUUCUUCUUAUCUCAUAUAUAAUGCAAGACAAAAGACAUUAAGUUAUCACUUGUCAUGAUCUCAUUCAAUCUAGCUUUAAUGUGUCUUAAUCUCAUUAAGCCACUUGUUAAGUCAAGAUUAAAUUAUCAAAAAAUUAUAUUCCACUAAUAGAAGACAAGUGGCACACAUUUAUGAGUGUCACUUGUCACUAUCUCAUGGUGUCACUAUCUCAUGGUGUCAUGUGUCACCAUAUGAAUUUAUCAAAAUGCUCUUGUAUGCAUUUUUGAGUUAUCAACUCAAAAUUGUAGUUUUCUCUCUCAAAUUAAUUUAUAUCAUAUAUUAAUUAAUUAAUCUCCUUUAAUUAAUUCCACCAUUAAAUUUAUAUUUAAACUCUUUAAAUAUAAGUCUAAUUUAUAUUAUACAUCCAAUACCAAAGAUUUGGUUUCAAGUUAUGCUAGAGACUUUACAAUCUUAUUACAAAUCAAAUCUAUUUAAUUAAUUAAUUAAAUCUCAUUUAACUCGCUGAUUAUUCACCUUCUUCUCAGCAACCACUAUGGCACUGGAAGGUUAACUCAACAGGAUUGGCUCACUGGUCAGACAGUACUCAGCUCUUCUUCAAUGGAAUCAAUGGAAUUCUUGUAAUAUCCGAUCUACACUAGGGGUUAUUCUGGUCAAGUGGAACCCAAGGUGACAAAGUUGCUCUUCUCAACACUUCAAAUCUUCAAAUACUCAAGCUUUAAGAAGCCUCUCACUCGGUACUCUGGCAAAGUUUCGAUUUUCCCACAGAUUAGCCUCGUCGAGAACCAGAAUUUAACUUCUAAUGUGUCCCUUGUUUCAUCAAAUGGGCUUCACUCUCUGCGCUUAGGAGACACUUUCAUGGCUCUAUAUGCUAAGUUCGAAGAAACACAGCAAAUGUAUUGGAAACGCAAAGCGCUGGAAGCCAGAGCAGUUAAUGUUGAAGGACAAGGUCCGAUUCUUGCACGGGUCGAAUCGAGCGGGUUCUUGGGUAUGUUCCAAACGGGAAACGCUCCUGUAGACUUUCAACCUUUUAACACCUACCAGCAACCUAUCAACCGAUUCCUCUUAGUCCGGUCAGAAUCGGACGGCAACCAGAAAGGCUACUUUUGGAACGGUUCCACCUGGGUAUUGGAUUAUCAAGCGAUUGCUGACAUCUGCGAUUUGCCUAGUCCCUGCGGUUCCUACGGUUUGUGCAAACCCGGGUCUGGUUGCUUCUGCUUGGAUAAUGACACGGACUUUAGAUCUGGUAACUGCUUUACCGUUCAGUCCAGUGACCUUUGCGGCGACGCCGAAGCCAAAACUAAGAACGAC